UGUCGGGUUGAUAACUAGGCGGCGGUUUCAACGCAUUGCACCCCACGACCUUUGCCCUUUAAGUGCCCGAAAGAUUGACUUUUUUUUGCGACUGAGUCUUACACAUUUGCUUUCUUGUUUCAUCCAUGUUUGAUUAAUGUUUAUUCGGUCGCAACAUAC
rnacentral:snoRNA from 1 species